CCUACGGGUGGCAGCAGUGGGGAAUAUUGGACAAUGGGGGGAACCCUGAUCCAGCCAUGCCGCGUGUGUGAAGAAGGCCCUCGGGUUGUAAAGCACUUUCAGUGAGGAAGAACGCCUGGUGGUUAAUACCCAUCAGGAAAGACAUCACUCACAGAAGAAGCACCGGCUAACUCCGUGCCAGCAGCCGCGGUAAUACGGAGGGUGCGAGCGUUAAUCGGAAUUACUGGGCGUAAAGCGCGCGUAGGUGGCUUGAUAAGCCGGUUGUGAAAGCCCCGGGCUCAACCUGGGAACGGCAUCCGGAACUGUCAAGCUAGAGUGCAGAAGAGGAAGGUAGAAUUCCCGGUGUAGCGGUGAAAUGCGUAGAGAUCGGGAGGAAUACCAGUGGCGAAGGCGGCCUUCUGGACUGACACUGACACUGAGGUGCGAAAGCGUGGGUAGCAAACAGGAUUAGAUACCCUGGUAGUC
rnacentral:rRNA from 1 species